rnacentral:rRNA from 1 species
GACAGGGGAUGCAAGCGUUGUUCGGAAUGAUUGGGCGUAAAGCGUCUGUAGGUGGCUUUUUAAGUUCGCCGUCAAAUCCCAGGGCUCAACCCUGGACAGGUGGUGGAAACUACCAAGCUAGAGUACGGUAGGGGCAGAGGGAAUUUCCGGUGGAGCGAUGAAAUGCGUAGAGAUCGGAAGGAACACCCAAGGCGAAAGCACUCUGCUGGGCCGACACUGACACUGAGAGACGAAAGCUAGGGGAGCAAAUGGG